rnacentral:tRNA from 3 species
GAAUUUAUUAUAAAAUUAGUAUAUUUUUUUGUUAAUAAAAAGGUUAAAUUCA